rnacentral:rRNA from 1 species
AUGGCGUCAAAGAUGAGCAAGGACGUGAAUUUCUCCGAGGAAGAAGUCACCUCGCACCCGCGUGUUCUAGAAGGUGAGGAGCAGACGGUUGCACCGGCACGGCAGUCUUCCAUCUUCCCGCCAACGUUGGACGAGCUGCAAUACUCUAUGUGCGAGGCAAGGCACAACUUUGGGUCCAUGAACAUGGACGAGUUCAUGAGCAACAUAUGGAAUGCCAAGGAGUUCCAAGCGGCGACCUAUGGUGUCUUGGUGGGCAUGGAGGUGGCUCCGGUGGUGGCUGUUGAUGGAGGCCGAGGUGGUGAAGAUGCAGGAGGAAGCAACCUAGCCCGGCAGGAGUCGUUCUCCUUGCCUCCCCCGCUAUGCCGAAAGAUGGUGGAGGAGGUGUGGGCUGAGAUCAACAGGGAGACCCGCCCGGUGCAUUCCCAGCCUCAGUCCGCGCGACCCUCGCCAUUGAUUCCUGUCGAACCACCGGCGGGGAAUGGUGGUGGGGUUGCGGCGAACGAACAAUGGGGGACGCUUGGAGAGAUGACGCUAGAACAGUUUCUUGUCAAGGUUGGUGUGGUCUGGGGAUCUGGCACCGGCGGCCAGGAGCCUGUGCCGGUCGGCAUGGUCCAUGGACAGAUGAACCCUACCCCGGCCAACGGCAUGUUCCAGGUGAUGGGCGAUGGCAUGGUGUUCAUCCCCAAUGGGUACAUAGGGAUGGUCGUGGUGCCGCCACCACUACCUCCUCAAGGUGGGGUGGGUAUCGUGAGCCCAGGGUCGUCGUACGGGAGGAGCACCAUGACGGAGGUUGACAUGAUGAACUGUAUGGGCGACAGAGUGAUGAUGGAGAACAGCGGCACACGGAAGCGCGGCGCUCCGGAGGAUCAGUCCUGUGAGAGGAGCAUCGAGCGCCGCCACCACCGCAUGAUCAAGAACCGUGAGUCAGCCACACAAUCGCGUGGCUGGAAGCAGGCUUAUACCAAAGAGCUUGAAGCCGAACUAAACCACCUCAAGGAGGAGAACUCUCAUCUGAAAGAUGAGGAGAAGACGAUUUUGCUGACCAAGAAACAAAUGCUAGUGGAGAAGGUGAUGGAGCAGCCCAAGGAAAAUGUGAACACCAAGAAGGGUGGCGCCCUGUCGCGGCGCUGCGGUAGCUGCAUCUGGUGA